GCUGAUUUACACCUAUUUAUUUACAUCGACCUGUCCAUUGGGCCGGAUCCAUCUACAGCACCCGGCCUGGAUGCCUGUGUACUCACUUUCAGAUUCUGGGCUGAAUCAAUAUGAAAUGAUUUUUGUGUCUUUAUUAUUCAAUCAAACAUUCUGUGUUUGAAAGUAAAACUAAUUAUUUUGUAAUUAAAAAAUAAAAGAUUGCAAAAAAAGUCUUCUUAAGGCUCAAAAAUAAAGAAAUUGAUGAUAAAAUUAUUUGCAGUGCAUAUAAAUCUCUGAAAAUCUUUAUUUUUCUUUGUGCACUUUAAUACUUUUUAUUGCUAAACCACAAAUGUUGCUCUCUUUUCUGCCGUCUUUUUUUGCGGGUCUAAAACUUUUUUUUGCAAGUUGAAAAGUUUUGCUUGCGAGUUGAAAAGUUUUGCUUACGAGUUAAGCUGUCUCUUAGUGGGCGGUCUUUACCCACCAGGAUGAAAGACUUUUUCCUAUUGGUCACUCUCGAUUGAAGUCACAGGUCUCCGUUUCCCUGGAAUCCACGUCACUGGCGCCGCAGUCUGACAGAGAACGAACGAGGUUGUGUCGUGACGAGCAACAGGUCGUGUACUGGGAAGAAGAUUUGGUGUUGAUGGAGGAGGCAACAUCUUCAAGGCAAAACCUUAGACCUGAUGCAACAUCAUCCAAUGUCAAAAUCACCCUUUAGGAGGUACACAGGCAAAAGCUAAAUUGAACAUUAUCAAUUAUCAAUUCCUAUUUUACAAAAUUUUUCCUGCAUACAUUUUUAUCUUUAAUGUGUAGGCACUUGAAGACCAGUGCCCAAUAUGCACAGGAACAUUUCCAGUAGACCUGCCAUGCCAGUUUUUGUGGAGACAGGUAAUGGUAAUAGUGACUCACACUGAAGCUUGAAAACACCUAAAAGGUGCUCUGAUUUGGAUCAUAUCUCACGGUAACUUACCUGACUAUGUUCAUUACAUUAGUUCAAAACAGUACAUUGCAAAGGUAAUAAAAAAACAUACGAAAUGUAUAUAUGAGAGUUG
ensembl:lncRNA